UGAGAACUGAAUUCCAUAGGCGUU
rnacentral:miRNA from 2 species